UCUCUUUUUCAUGAUUUGUACUUAUCUUGUUCUUCUCUUCCUCCAAGCAGCCAUGCCAUGACUCCAUGGUACCCUCUGCUAUGUAUCUCUUUCGGAUGAUGGUCACCUUCCGAAGACCUCCUCAGAUUCUGGUGUAUUGUUUUCUCUGGACUCUCCCCGCUCACCGUCCUCGAAUGCCUGUCCUCCUGCCCACCUGCUUAUCCUUAACACUGGUUGGAUUUCCAUUAUCAUCCUUCACCUGGACACUCACUGGAAGAACAUCCUUCUCUUGAGCUUCUUGCCUCCUCUCACAAUGCCUUCCCCCGAAACCACACACUCCAACUUUCCACGGGGGUUAUUUGUCCACAAGAUUUGGGACAUUUUACCAAUGACUGAGAGAGGACUUCUAGAAGAUUUCGAGGGUGAAGGCAAAAGUUGUCCCUGUGGUAACUGGAGUAUUUGGCUGCUAACUGUCUGAAGAUGAAGUAAUGGCAGACACCAGCAUAUAAAUCAGAAAUAUAAUGUCCUAUCAACCCCACAGCGAUGCCAAUAAGAAGUUAAGUGAGUUUCUGGCAAGAUUAACCUCUUGUGGGAAAACC